AGCGAACGCUGGCGGCAGGCCUAACACAUGCAAGUCGAACGAACCUAUCGGGGUUAGUGGCGGACGGGUGAGUAACACGUGGGAACGUGCCUUUAGGUUCGGAAUACCUAAGGGAAACUUGUGCUAAUACCGAAUGUGCCCUUCGGGGGGACGAUUUGUCGCCUCUAGAGCGGCCCGCGUCUGAUUAGCUAGUUGGUUGAGGUAAUGGCGCACCAAGGCGACGGUCAGUAGCUGGUCUGAGAGGAUGGUCAGACACUUAGGGGCUGAGACACAGCCCAGACUCCUACGGGAUGCAGCAGUGGGUAAUCUUGCGCAAUGGGCGAAGGCCUGACGCAGCCAUGCCGCGUGAAUGAUGAAGGUCGUAGGAUUGUAAAAUUCUUUCACCGGUGACGAUAAUGACGGUACCCGGAGAAGAAGCCCCGGCUAACUUCGUG
rnacentral:rRNA from 1 species